rnacentral:lncRNA from 1 species
AAAAAUGCACCAACGGAUGCUUCCAAUGGGAUCUGAUAUUUACCACUGGGGGUUUUGAUUUGAUUUCUCAAAGGUACAGUCACAUCCAGACAUCGAAAGACGAUGAAUGGGAACGGAAAUCACAACUAGACGUCAACGGACGACUAGGAAAAACUCGACAUUUAUCGAAACCAACGGAGAGGUAAAUCUACUGGGGACGACCAG